rnacentral:snRNA from 1 species
GUGCUUGUUUUGGCACGCAGCACAUAUACUAAAGUUGGAAUGAUACAGGGAAGAUUAGUGUGGCCCCUGCCCAAGGAUGACACGACACCCAAAUUCGUGAAGUGUUCAAGAUUUUU